AAAGUGGUGGGGAAAGGAUGUUUCUUUGAAGUUGCCACCAGUUUGGAGCAUUUUCGUUUGGCCCUGUUGGGAAACGUUUAUGCACGAAACGUCAGACAAUCUUCGUACGCCUUCGUUUUGGGUGCUUCCUUUACUCAGCACUUGAAUCUCAGUUGUGCUGAGUCCAACACCGGUAUCUCCAAAUCGGAGCUGAAACAUGAUCUUGUUCAGUAACUCCCAUAAAGAUUCGUGUGAGCCUGGGUUGAACCGUUCCAGAACAGUGUUUCUGAGGGAGGUCAUAAAAAACAGCCUUCAAGCAGCCCAUUGCUGCAAUGGUCUACAUGGUGCUCUCCAUUCAGCAGUUAUUGACUGUGAGGACCAUCUCUUUGCAAACGCCAAUUCAUGGACAUAUAAUGGACAUAUUCAGCAUGCAACCCUUGAGCUGCAUCUCUCCUCAACAUGAUGGUCCCCAUCAUCACCUUCAUUUCAAUUCGCCCAAA